GACGACGCUGGCGGCGUGCCUAACACAUGCAAGUCGAACGGAGAUAUUGAAGUAGCAAUACGAAGAUAUCUUAGUGGCGGACGGGUGAGUAACGCGUGAGCAACCUGCCUUUUACAGGGGGAUAACACAGGGGAAACCUGUGCUAAUACCGCAUAACAUACGAUUAGGGCAUCCUGAUGGUAUCAAAGGAGCAAUCCGGUAAAAGAUGGGCUCGCGUCCGAUUAGAUAGUUGGUGAGGUAACGGCCCACCAAGUCUGCGAUCGGUAGCCGGACUGAGAGGUUGAACGGCCACAUUGGGACUGAGACACGGCCCAGACUCCUACGGGAGGCAGCAGUGGGGAAUAUUGGUCAAUGGGGGAAACCCUGAACCAGCGACGCCGCGUGAAGGAAGAAGGCCUUCGGGUUGUAAACUUCUUUGACAGGGGACGAUAAUGACGGUACCCUGAAAACAAGCCACGGCUAACUACGUG
rnacentral:rRNA from 1 species